UCUCUUUCUCUGUGCAAACUGGUUGAAUUAAUGGUAAAAAAUCACUGUUUAUCUCCUAUAAAGUUUUGAUUAAUGGAAGAAAGGAUUUUUGAUGCUAGACUUAAGCUGCAGCAAAUCUGAUGUGCUUUGUGUGUUUUUCUGUAUUAUUCUGUCAUAAAGAGGGGUACCUUAUGAUAGAACACUGGCUUAGGACGCUUUUCAAGGCAGAACAGCAAACUGGUCUGUUACAAACUUUGCUGCAGUUUCCUGAGAAAAACUGGAUGAGUUUUUUUCUUGUCUUGCAUGUCCUUGGGAACUUGAAGCUGUAAGCAUGUGGCCAUGUUUUCUCUUUUCACAAUGGCAUCCUGUGUUCAGGGUUCAAUUUCUGCCUCGGGAUGAAUUUUUUUUAUCUUCUUCUGUACACAAUUGGAGAAACUGAUUAUUUUACGAAGACUUUGAUGGAAUGGUAUACUCUCCUUUAAGGAAUCAAACUUGACUUGCCAAGUCAAUAAAAGCCCCUUGGAGAAAUGGCCUCAGACCUUUGCUACAACAGUCCCUGUACGUGAUUUCUGACCUGUGGUAAGUAAAUAAUGUCACCUUCUAACAGGUCCAGGAGCCCCAAGUUAUCUUGGGACCCCAAGAGGAGAGGAAUUUACUAAACUCAUAGGUAUUUGAGGGUACAAACCCAUGGUAGGGCUCAGCUCAAAAAGAGUCUUAUCUAAGAUUCCUUCUAAGAAACAAAGUUUCAUCAAAGCCAGUGUUAAAAGUCUAUGUGAAAAAUAAUUAUUCUUGCUGUACUUUAUACAAAUAAUCAGGCCAAGUAUAAUAAAGCAAAUUAGUCUCACUAUGACUUAUCUUUAGUGAAAAUGGAAAACAGGAGAGAGAAUAUUAUGUUUCAAGACCUAUGUUACACUUGUUAUUAAAUUCUAGUCUCAUCAGUUGUUAAGUUUGUUUCUGCAGUUUAGGCUAACCCUGCUUCUUCCUGUGAACCAACCGGUGAUCUUUGUUUGCUACUCUGAAAAAACAAGACAUUUUGGUAAUGUAAAAAUCUGGAUCAGUAUUCUAAUUCUGGGCAUGUAUUGGAAUUGGCUAACCACCUCAUGUCAGCUUGGUUCCAGUAGUUGCCCAGUUCAUGAAGAGCCUUAUAAUUUAGUUUAUUUGGGAUAAUUUUGCUUAUUUUGUUAUAUUGCUGUUUUACUCUUUGUGUAGGAAUGCAGACUAAGCUUGCUAAAUGUUUUCUUAAACUAAAUACUUAUUAGUCUUUCAGAUAUCACCUUUCAUCAGGACUCAAGAGUUCUGAAUGGCCUUCAUCAUACUGAGGCUUUCUGACUGAGCUCCUCUCUACCCUGAACACAGAGACCCUAAUAGUUAGGCAGGAAUAUCAUUUCCCCUAUUCAGCCUGAAGAAGUUACAGAAGAUGAAUCUUUGUCCCCCUACAACCUUAGGAUUAAGGGUUCUCUUAUAAAAGGGAGGGAGGAAAUGUCUAAGACAUGUGAACUAGAGCAACUUCAUCCUGAAGAGGAGCUGAGUAAAAUAAGGCUGAAACCUACUGGGCUGCAUUCUUAGACAGUUAAGGCAUUCUAAGUCACAGGAUGAGAUAGGAGGUUAGCACAAGAUACAGGUCCUUAAAACCUUGCUGAUAAAACAGUUUGCAGUAAAGAAACCAGCCAAAACCCACCAAAACCAAUAUGGCCACGAGAGUGACCUCUGGUCAUCCUCACUGCUACACUCCCACCAGCGCCAUAAUAGUUCACAAAUACCAUAGCAACAUCAGGAUGUAACCCUGCAUAAAUAAUGCACCCCUUGUUUAGCAUAUGAUCAAGAAAUAACCAUAAUAAUAGGCAACCAGCAGCCCUCAGGGAUGCUCUGUCUUUGGAGUAGCCAUUCUCUUAUUCCUCUACUUUCUUAAUAAACUUGCUUUCACUUUACUCAGACUCCUCAUAAAUUCUUUCUUGCACAAGAUCCAAGAACCCUCUCUUGGAGUCUGAUUGGGACCUUUUUCUUGUGACAGAUUCUGCCAGUUUCUGUUCUUGGCAGGUUCCAUUUCUACAAAUUCCUCAUCUCUAUAGGUUUAGGAUCAGAAUGUUCCAGCAGGGGAGCAUUACAGCUGUUUCAAUCCUCAGGGAGACUACUCAUCUUGGGAAUAAUUCCUUCCUGGAGUGAUUGGAAAAUAAUUCCUAAAAGAAAUUGAAAAGUCAAAUUGUUGAACGGUAAAUUCACCAUCACGUUUACCAUAAAGCAUGUAGAGAAAUGGAAAUAGUUACACAUCAUGGUUGAGAGUGCAGGAUUUGCAGUCAGACAGUUUCUGGCACUUAGUAGCUUUAGAAAGUGACUUAAGCCCUCUAAGCCCUCAGUUUUCACAUCUAUAAAAUGAAGUAAAUAAUAUAAGCCUCUCAGAAGUGGAGUGAGCGUUGAAUGAAAUAGUAUGUGAGUAGUUUAACGCAGAGACUGGCACUGACAUAAGAAACUAUUGUGAUAGAAGCAGAGCAGAGAAAAUAUUUUGAAUAGCUGUAUGCAUGGCAAUUUUUUAACCUCUUUAUUCGUGGCAACUCAUUUAAUUGCCACAACAAACUAAGUACUUUUAUUAUUUCCAUUGUUAUGGACUGAGCUAUGCUACCCUCUUCAUUUCAUAUGUUGAUGUCCUAAGUCCCAGUGCCCCAUAAUGUGACUAUAUUUGGAGACACGGUCUUUACAUGGAUAAUUAAGUUAAAAUUAGGUCAUUAGGGUGGGCCCUAAUUCAAUAUGGCUGGUGUCCUUAUCAGGUUAGGACACAGACAUGCAUAGAGGGAAAACCAGAAAAAAGGUAUAGGAGAAAAAAUGGUUAUCUACAAGCCAAAGAGAGAGGCCUCAGAGGAAGCCAACUCAACAAAUUUUAAAAUAUGUAUUUUGGAGAACAAAAUUAUUAGAAAAUAUUUACAACAGAAAAAAAAAAUUUCUUCUAGAACUGAGCUGGUCUAAAGGUGCAUAUCUUGGUAAGGCUCUGUGAAGAAAUGACCUAAUCUGGAGAGAAGCUGUUGGGACACUCGUCUGUGUGUGGCCUGUGGCUCACAGGGGUGGGUAUUCUCAGAAAGCACAUGGGAAAAUCACCGUCCUGGUGUGUCCAGGCUCUGGGAACAGGCUCUUCCUCGUGGCUUUCACAUGGGUUUCCUGGUGGGCUAUGUAGUCACUUUCUGCAUCCUUCUUUUAAGGGCUCAUGAACGUCACAGACCCUGAGAUACCGGUCUCACUGUCCUCAACUAUCAAAUGAGGAGGUUGCACCAAAGAACCCCUAAAGCCCCUCCCACCUCUAAUCGCCUAUGGGACUGUCCAUUCUUCUUAAGGAUCAUUAUAGACACACAGCAGGGAACAUAAAGUAGACAAAUUCUGAGAAACAGCUAAGAAAAGUACUACAGACCCACCAGAAUGGGAGUAUAAAUUGGGCUUCAUCUGCCCCAUUGCAACCUAGACUUCCUUUGCCUUAUGAUUUGGCUCAAUGGCAUCUGUGACAAGGUAGCUUGAAGUUGACACCAGUGCAUCCCUGGAGAUUGGAUGGGCUGGGCUCAGAAUCCCAUACAUCCUUUACAGCCUUUUUUUUCCUCACCCUAUCCAUACCCUCACCCUACUAGAAUUAUGCAUGCACUUGUUGAAAACAGCCCUAGCAAAGUAAAUCUAGGCUCCUUAGGCCAUGAUUAAGGGCCCUUGAAGAAGUCAAAUUACCUAAGAAACUCUAGACAUGCACUCUCCAAUAUGCAAGCCACUAGUUCGUGUCUACUGAGCUCCUGAAUUGUGGCUAGUGCUAAUGGAGAUGUGCUGUAAGCAUGAAAUGCACACCAGAUGUACAAGACUUAGUAUGAAAAAAUAUAUUAAAAUCUCAUUAAUAGUAAGAUUAUUUUUAUAUUGAAAUGAUAAUUGUUAAUAUUGGGUUAAAUAAAAUAUAGCAUUAAAAUUCAUUUCUCCUGUUUUUACCUUUUUAAUGAGUCUACUAGAAAUUUUAAAUUUAUGAAUAUGGCAUAGUUUAUCUCCAUUGGACAGCACUGCUAUUUAGAGUAUCAAAAUUUGGUAUCUUUUGUGACAAUAAUAAAUCAUUUAUCAAGGAGAAAUACCCUAGAAUUGGACACUCAUCACCCAUUAUGUAACUUCAGCUAGCCUCUUGGUUUGUCCUCCUCUCUCUCAUAGAAUUAAUAAAGCAAUCUAUCAGGACAAAAUGAA